rnacentral:rRNA from 1 species
GACGGACCGUGCGAACGUUGUUCGGAUUCACUGGGCUUAAAGGGCGCGUAGGCGGUACGCCAAGUUUGGGGUGAAAUCUUUCGGCUCAACCCGAAAAUUGCCUGGGAUACUGGUGUGCUCGAGGGAGGUAGGGGCAGCGGGAACUGCCAGUGGAGCGGUGAAAUGCGUUGAUAUUGGGAGGAACGCCGGUGGCGAAAGCGCGCUGCUGGACCUCUUCUGACGCUGAGGCGCGAAAGCUAGGGGAGCAAACGGG